rnacentral:rRNA from 1 species
AGUGGCGGACGGGUGAGUAACACGUGGGUAACCUGCCCUUAAGUGGGGGAUAACAUUUGGAAACAGAUGCUAAUACCGCAUAGAUCCAAGAACCGCAUGGUUCUUGGCUGAAAGAUGGCGUAAGCUAUCGCUUUUGGAUGGACCCGCGGCGUAUUAGCUAGUUGGUGAGGUAAUGGCUCACCAAGGCGAUGAUACGUAGCCGAACUGAGAGGUUGAUCGGCCACAUUGGGACUGAGACACGGCCCAAACUCCUACGGGAGGCAGCAGUAGGGAAUCUUCCACAAUGGACGCAAGUCUGAUGGAGCAACGCCGCGUGAGUGAAGAAGGCUUUCGGGUCGUAAAACUCUGUUGUUGGAGAAGAAUGGUCGGCAGAGUAACUGUUGUCGGCGUGACGGUAUCCAACCAGAAAGCCACGGCUAACUACGUGCCAGCAGCCGCGGUAAUACGUAGGUGGCAAGCGUUAUCCGGAUUUAUUGGGCGUAAAGCGAGCGCAAGCGGUUUUUUAAGUCUGAUGUGAAAGCCCUCGGCUUAACCGAGGAAGCGCAUCGGAAACUGGGAAACUUGAGUGCAGAAGAGGACAGUGGAACUCCAUGUGUAGCGGUGAAAUGCGUAGAUAUAUGGAAGAACACCAGUGGCGAAGGCGGCUGUCUGGUCUGUAACUGACGCUGAGGCUCGAAAGCAUGGGUAGCGAACAGGAUUAGAUACCCUGGUAGUCCAUGCCGUAAACGAUGAAUGCU